GGGGGCAUGGCGGAAUGGUAGACGCAGCGGACUUAAAAUCCGCAGGUCGCAAGACUGUGGGGGUUCAAGUCCCCCUGCCCCCA
rnacentral:tRNA from 1 species